GUAGGUGGCAAGCGUUGUCCGGAAUUAUUGGGCGUAAAGCGCGCGCAGGCGGUUCUUUAAGUCUGAUGUGAAAGCCCACGGGCUCAACCGUGGAGGGUCAUUGGAAACUGGAGAACUUGAGUACAGAAGAGGAAAGCGGAAUUCCACGCGUAGCGGUGAAAUGCGUAGAGAUGUGGAGGAACACCAGUGGCGAAGGCGGCUUUCUGGUCUGUAACUGACGCUGAGGCGCGAAAGCGUGGGGAGCAAACAGGAUUAGAUACCCUGGUAGUCCACGCCGUAAACGAUGAGUGCUAAGUGUUAGGGGGUUUCCGCCCCUUAGUGCUGCAGCUAACGCAUUAAGCACUCCGCCUGGGGAGUACGGCCGCAAGGCUG
rnacentral:rRNA from 1 species